UGACAGAGUGAAAGAUUAUGAACACAUGCUUCUGGACGUUUUCAGACGCCAGGUGCCUUUGCUAUUAGUGCCACUGCACUAUGCCACGCUCUGAGACGUGCUAAUAAUACGCUUGUGAGCUUCUGCGGCUAGGGCAGGGCUGGCCAGCUGCUGUCUCGGGUACGACAUGAGAGGAGAAGUGUAGGUGUGGGCGGAUGGGCUGUAUGAUUAGAGCUCCAAAGUGCCAUCAACACACCAUGGGAAAAUAAGCUCAUCAACACUGACACAUGCCAAGGCCCCACGGACAAACCUUUACCUUAGGUCUCUGAGCAACUCUGCUGCAAGACUGUUUGCAAAGCAUUCAGGAAUGAGUAUACAGACCAUCAUACGAUGAGACCUGUGGAGAAUUUUUCCCUGCUCCAGUGACUAGCCAGCUGAAUUAAAAAAAAAAAAAACAUGUUGCCUGCUGCCUGAGAUCACUGUCAGCAGGACACCGGUGGGGACAAGGCGCUUGCUAGCCGAGAGAUAAAAACAGCAUUAAUAAAAUGGCUGGAAACAGGUGUCUCCCUUUACCCCUUCAGCUCCCCCUGAGGCUGUUUAGCAGUCACCACUAUGCCUCUGUGUCUGGAGGAGGUGAGGUUAUCCCUACCCUUGAUAUGUGUGCGAGCUUUUUCACAAUGGGAAAGUGUGUGUUGCAUUUCUGAACAAUACUUGGAUACUGUGUUGGUAUUUUGCAAAUAACUACAUAUUAUCAAAUCCGA